UCCCAGGUGUCUCAGUGACAAAGAACCCGCCUCCCAGUGCGGGAGACCCAGGUUCGAUCCCUGGGUCGGGAA
rnacentral:tRNA from 1 species